AGCUCCAACAUUGCUCACAUAAAUCUUUCUCUGCGUAUAUUCUGAAGCAGGUGGGACUUGAGGAGCCGCCACCGCAUUGGUUGUUGGAACAGGCCCAACCGAAGCUAACUGGCAAGCAGUCAUCCUAUUCCCAAUCUUCUUCUGAGGUUCCUUCAGUGCUUUUCGAGCCCCACUCCGCUUCUUGAAGAGGAUGAAACCGUAACCCUUGGACUUACCAGAGACCUUAUCACACACAGCUUUGCAAUCCUCAAUCUCGCCAAAUUGCUUA
rnacentral:lncRNA from 1 species